rnacentral:rRNA from 1 species
CCUGAACGCUGGCGGCGUGGCUAAGACAUGCAAGUCGUACGGGUGUAGCAAUACACCAGUGGCGAACGGGUGAGUAAUGUAUCGCUAAUGUACCCCGGACUCUGGGAUAGCUAUCCGAAAGGGUAGGUAAUACCAGAUGAUGUAACCUUGCCGCAUGGCAGGGUUCCCAAAGGUCCGCCGGUCUGGGAGCAGGCGAUAUCGUAUCAGCUAGUUGGUGAGGUAACGGCUCACCAAGGCGACGACGCGUAGCCGGACUGAGAGGUUGGCCGGCCACAUU